CAGUAGGGAUCUUCCGCAUGGACGAAAGUCUGACGGAGCAACGCCGCGUGAGUGAUGAAGGUUUUCGGAUCGUAAAACUCUGUUGUUAGGGAAGAACAAGUACCGUUCGAAUAGGGCGGUACCUUGACGGUACCUAACCAGAAAGCCACGGCUAACUACGUGCCAGCAGCCGCGGUAAUACGUAGGUGGCAAGCGUUGUCCGGAAUUAUUGGGCGUAAAGCGCGCGCAGGCGGUUUCUUAAGUCUGAUGUGAAAGCCCCCGGCUCAACCGGGGAGGGUCAUUGGAAACUGGGGAACUUGAGUGCAGAAGAGGAGAGUGGAAUUCCACGUGUAGCGGUGAAAUGCGUAGAGAUGUGGAGGAACACCAGUGGCGAAGGCGACUCUCUGGUCUGUAACUGACGCUGAGGCGCGAAAGCGUGGGGAGCGAACAGGAUUAGAUACCCUGGUAGUCCACGCCGUAAACGAUGAGUGCUAAGUGUUAGAGGGUUUCCGCCCUUUAGUGCUGCAGCAAACGCAUUAAGCACUCCGCCUGGGGAGUACGGUCGCAAGACUGAAACUCAAAGGAAUUGACGGGGCCCGCGCC
rnacentral:rRNA from 2 species